CACGUAGGGUGCGAGCGUUGUCCGGAAUUAUUGGGCGUAAAGAGCUCGUAGGCGGUGUGUCGCGUCGGCCGUGAAAACCUGCAGCUUAACUGUGGGCUUGCGGUCGAUACGGGCAUCACUGGAGUUCGGCAGGGGAGACUGGAAUUCCUGGUGUAGCGGUGAAAAUGCGCAGAUAUCAGGAAGAACACCAAUGGCGAGAGCAGCUCUCUGGGACGGUACUGACGCUGAGACGCGAAAGCGUGGGGAGCGAACAGG
rnacentral:rRNA from 1 species